rnacentral:rRNA from 1 species
GACGAACGCUGGCGGCGUGCUUAACACAUGCAAGUCGAACGAUGAUGCUGGAGCUUGCUCCAGUUGAUUAGUGGCGAACGGGUGAGUAACACGUGAGCAAUCUGCCCUUGACUCUGGGAUAACUGCGGGAAACUGUAGCUAAUACCGGAUACUUUCACCGGAAGGCAUCUUCUGGUGAUGAAAGAAUUUCGGUCAGAGGAUGAGCUCGCGGCCUAUCAGCUUGUUGGUGAGGUAACGGCUCACCAAGGCGACGACGGGUAACCGGCCUGAGAGGGUGACCGGUGACACUGGGACUGAGACACGGCCCAGACUCCUACGGGAGGCAGCAGUGGGGAAUAUUGCACAAUGGGCGCAAGCCUGAUGCAGCAACGCCGCGUGAGGGAUGGAGGCCUUCGGGUUGUAAACCUCUUUUAGCAGGGAAGAAGCGAAAGUGACGGUACCUGCAGAAAAAGCACCGGCUAACUACGUGCCAGCAGCCGCGGUAA